ensembl:lincRNA
UGGAAAAAAUAAAAGAAAUAAAAAAUGUAUUGGUAAUAGUGAACAUUAUCUUGUUUUGACUUACAGGCAAUAUCAUACCAGAAAAAUGGCUGCAUUUGGAAAAUGAAUAGCUAGAGAAAAUUCUAAUGAAUAAGCCCAAGGCCUCCAGAAAUGACGAUGAAAAUAACCAGCAUAAGGUUCAGAGGAUACCUAUGCAGGUUUCUUACAUGGAUAUACUGUGUAAUAGUGAGUUUGGGUUAGUGUUAUAAGGUAAUUUCUUAUCUUUUUUUCUUCAACAAAGAAAAUACACAAAGAAAAUGCCACAGAUUGACUGGAAUAAGGAUGAGGUUUUUGUUAUUCUUUUUCUUUUUCUUUUUUUAGAACUGGUGUUGCUGAGGAGAUGAUCACUGAACUUGGAUGUCGAUCAAAGCCAACAGAUACGGGGUCAGGGGCUAUGAUGGAAGCUACACAAAGUAGAAUAUCUAAAAUGGAACUAAAACUUGGGAUUAAAAUAUGAACAAAAUACAGACUUACGAAAAUAACAUAUAUGUAUAUCAGAGGAAGAUAUGUUUUAUCAAAAUAUCAUAUGUGUACAUUUUUCAGAUAAAAUAAAUAUUGUUCCAUAGAUCACUUUUCUUAGCCUUUUUAGCUUAAAGAUGUCAUAAGGAGAGACUAGUCAAUAAAUUAGAAGUCCUAACAUCUGACCUUGCUCAUGCCAGUGUAUGGCCUACAAGACUAAACUCCUAGGGACUAGGGGAGAUACUGGUCACAUGAUUCAAAAUUUCAAUUAGGCAGGAGGAAUAAGUUCAAGAGAUCAAUCAGGUAUCCUGGUGGCUAUUGUUAACAAUAAUAUGUUACAUACUUAAGAACUGCUAUGAGAGUAUAUUUUAAGUGUUCUUACCAAAAAAUAAUAAGUAUGUGAGGUGAAGAUAAGUUAAUUAGUUUAAGCCAUUCCACAAUGUAUACACAAAUCAAAACAUCAUUAUAUACCAUAAAUAUACACAAUUUUCAUCAAUUUAAAAAAUUAAUUACUAUUUGAAAAGCCUAGAGAAUUCCCAGAAGUUAACAGAUAUUUUAUGAAGGCACAAGAGCAACCUUUGUCCUUAAGGAGUUCACGUUUUUGUUCACUGUAUCACAAAACCAACACCAUCAAAGGCAAGAUGUAACAGCCACAGCAGUAUAUAAACAAAGUUUCCUUAAAGCAUCAGAAUACAGUGAUUUAUUGCAGAAGAAUAGACUAAGUCAUUAAAAAAAAAGAUAUCUACUGCGGUAAUAUCUAAAGCCCAUGGUAAAUGAUGUCUUUGAGAAUUGCACAUCUGGUGUUCUGGCAAAAAAUUAGGAGACCUGAAAAUAAUAUCUCUAAAUUGUUUAUCUUUUAGCUUAAUUAACCAACUGGCUUAAAAGUCCAAUUCAAUCCAUAACGGAGGGACUGGACUGGAUAACAUCUAAAGUCCCUUCUGAUGCUUUAAUUCAAAAGUAUUUCUAUUUUAAAAGUUCUAUUUUGACAUUUAAAGAUGGGUUUAAAAUUUCAUGUAUGAAAGAAACAAAAUGCAAAUGAUAAAAUUAAUUUUUGUUAUGGAUACUAUUUUAUGUAUUGGAUAUAUGUAUAGAAGAAAAUUAUUAAAAUAUAACUAGUUUGUUUCUGGUGCAUCUGAGAAGAGAAAAUAAACAGCACACAUGCAAAAGUUUAUAAGACAACACUGUCUUGAGUCAGUGACAAAAGGAGUGAGACACAUUCAUGUUCACUGAAAUUUUUUAAAUUGUGAACCAUGAGUCACUAGCUGUGAAGUUUAAUCAAAAGCAGUUUACACAGUUAAUUAGACACCAAUUUAAAGUGCUGCAUAGUAUUCACUGUACUGCACAGCAAAAGGCAUAAAUAACCACAUAAAUGACUGUUAAGUAACCACA